rnacentral:lncRNA from 1 species
AUGAGGCAGGUGGACAAGGGAACCCAGCGAAUGCCCCUAAGUGUCCUUGUUCCCUCAGUUCCACGCGGUGGCCACCCCCAGAUCCCAGGCCAGCACGUGCUUGGCCUGAGCAGCGCCCUUCCGCUCAGCCUCCCCGGAAGGCCCUGCAGACACUGGCCACCAGGGACCGAUAGCUCUCCGUGUCCUGUUUGCCCUUGGCCCAAGGACAUCCUCCCGGGAAGGCCCAGCAUGGUCGAGGGGGCAGGACCCAGGCACUGUGGGGUCCCCCGGCCACAUAGCAUCAAAUGCCACCCCAUGUGUCUCGAACUCCUGAUAACAUUGUCCGGCCAACAAACAAACAAAAAAACCCCAAAACACAAAAUUAGCAAAUACAAAUGUAAAAACCACACUCUUCUCAUUUUACAGGAGGAACCUGAGGCUGAGAGAGGAGUCACAGCGGGGUCAAGAGGUAGAAGCCCCUUGACCCCUGGAAGCGGCAGCCUCCUCAUGAAAGAAGAGGGUUUGGCUGGAACGGCGUCUUCUCUCCCACCGAGUCCUGGACUUUUCAGAACCAGCUCCUGCACCUGAUGCCUUGGGAUCCUCACGGGGCUGAUGAACAAAGCUGGUCUUUGCAGCAGCUGGGCUGGGACAGCAGGUGGGUAAAGGGCCUGCUGUGAGGGUCCUGCACGCGUCCCCGUGUGUGUGUGUGUGUGUGGGGGGGUGGUGGCAAGCCCAGCCCUCAUGCCUCUGGGUGACUGACGGGCUCUGACUCUCUCUGCGGUUCCCUACACAGUGUCCCUGUCCUGGGCACCCGUCCUCCUGAGAGCCAGGCGGUGCUCUGGGUGCCGGGACAGAGCAGGGGCUUAGGUUCUGGUCGGGGGAGACGGGCGGUGCCGUGGGCACCUGCCGAGCGCUGACCUAGGGCAUCCGGCCGCACAGGGACAUCUCUGGGUCUCUGCUGAGCGCUGGGCCUUCUGGGGGGGCCCCAGGUGGGGACGUGCGGAGGUCCCGAGCCCUUCUGCGGCGUUUCCGCGCCCACCAGACCUGUGACGAGGCCUGUGCUAUCCUCGCCACAUUCCGGGCGGCCGCGUGUGCCUGUGGAGCAACGGCUGGUAUUUCCCAGCCCUGCCCAGUGCUUUCCAGCGGGUGUCUCCUUCACAACUUACUGUCCGAGGCAAGUAGCCUCCAUCCUGCAGAGGAGGAGGCGGCCAGAAAGGUCAAGUGCACGGGCCGGGGGUCGGGCUCUGACCACGGGGCCAGCAGUCUGCGCUGGGGAGGCCACGGCCGCCUCCUGUGCUGUGAAGCUCUGAGAACUGCGUUAGGGCACCGCCUGUCCCGGAGGGGCAGUUUCUGCCGUGACAGCACAGAGAUCUGUCAAGUGGAAGGUAACUGAGGACAGAGAGAACCAAAUCCUGCCUCUCGCUUCUAACCUGACGCUUUCGUACCCCGGGGCGGGUGGCAGGAGGAGUGUCUUAUCAGGACUACUUGCAGUGUGGUCACUUUUGUUACCGUGCGAGGCUCUCUCGAGACCCCACGCCCUGAGCCGCUAGCCGGGGGAGGGGCCGGACUGUUCUCGAAGCCGCCAUCC